UACGGAGGGUGCAAGCGUUAAUCGGAAUUACUGGGCGUAAAGCGCACGCAGGCGGUUUGUUAAGUCAGAUGUGAAAUCCCCGCGCUUAACGUGGGAACUGCAUUUGAAACUGGCAAGCUAGAGUCUUGUAGAGGGGGGUAGAAUUCCAGGUGUAGCGGUGAAAUGCGUAGAGAUCUGGAGGAAUACCGGUGGCGAAGGCGGCCCCCUGGACCUGUACUGACGCUCCUGCACGAAAGCGUGGGGAGCAAACAGG
rnacentral:rRNA from 1 species